GCUAGGGCUUUAGCUGUGUUCUUGAACUCGCAAGGGGUGAGGUUCAAUGCGGUUUAUUCCUCGCCUUUGGAUCGAGCAAGAUCAAUGGCCGUUUCUGUUUGUCAGGAAACAAAUUUUACAGAGGAACAGAUUCAGUCAUCAGAUGCUCUUUUAGAGAUGAGCCUGGGGCAUUGGGAGGGAUGCCCCUGUUCAGAAAUUUAUACACCUGAAGUUUUGGGCUUGAUUGAAAGUUCUCAGCCUGAUUUUUGUGCACCAUCUGGAGAAUCAUUAAGGCAAGUGGAAUUUAGGAUGGUCCAGUUCUUAAAUUGGACAAUUCUAGGACUGCCUGAAAAGUUGAGAUCCGAUUUCACAUUGCACCAUCAAAUCAAGAGCCAAGGUUUUUCUCAUGAUCGAGAUCCACCUGCUCUACUGCCACAACAUUGGGAUAUGCUUCAUAGGCAUCGGCCAGGGCUCUCAAGGAAGAAAUCAGGUAGGAGCAGGCUGCAGUAUGUGACUACCACAGGCAAUCAUGAGGGUGAGGAUGAGAUCUCUCCCAGGGAAGCCAGUGACCAAAGUGCACUGCAUAAUUUGAGUGUUAGGAGCUCAACCUCCAUCUCUUCAUGUAUUGGUGUUUUCACUCAUUCAAUUCCUAUCAAGUGCCUCCUCACAGGUCUCCUGGGUUGCAGCCCAGUAAUGUUACAUAAGAUCUGCAUAGAAGAUUCUUCAGUGACAGUAUUGCUUCAUUCAUGGAAAACAGGUUGGCAG
rnacentral:misc_RNA from 1 species